CAAGUGUCUGAAGAUUUUAUUGAAAAUUAAAUCAACUUUCUACAGAAGAAAACAAGACACUUUUGGUUUUGUAGCACUGCACUAAACUGUUAUCCCUAAACAGAGAAAUAGUGAUUAAUUAGUAAUAAACAAAAAUACUUAUGCUAAUAUGUGUACAUCAUCACAAGUACAGUAUCUGCUAAGUAUCUGUUUACUUAGUGCUGCAAAACAUCUGGAAGUCGUUACUUAAUUCCUUUUCAUCAUCCAUGAAGUACAUCACCACUAUGUAGGAGGAAAGAACACUGCUUGAAUUCAGUAAAAGGACAACGACGCAACAAGAUGAAAAUAAAAUAUGCCUCUAGGGAUCAGGAGACGGAAGAAGAGUGCAGGAAAGAAAUACAAAAUAAGUGAUCAUGGCUAUUUUGUGCACCAGACAAAUGGACUCUUGUUUUAUUCAAUUUAUUACAUCUAAUUAUCAAAAUAAUCUUUUUUAAGCCACAGAAACUGCUACAAAAUAUCAUUAAAUAUAAUCUCUGAAACAUCAUUAAGCAUCAACUGCAGAUAUCCACACCAUAAAAGCUUUAUAUCACAUCUUCCACAUGACACACUUUGUCUUACAAGAAAAAACAACUGUAUAUUCAUACAUCACUUGAAGGACAUACAAUAGAUUUAAGGUUUUACGACUACAAGGGUCUACAAACUUAGCAAUUCUCAUUUAUUUUACUUAAUUCUUUUUUUUUUUUUUUUUUUAAUCCUUGAAGGUGUCACUCUAAUAAACAUAUUUUCCCAGAUGAAAUUAAGGUUCACGAUAUCAACAAAGUAUUGGGUCACAACUGAGUAACUUGAGAGUAAGCUGAGAUUUUUUUUUUUUUUUAAGACCUAUAAACAUGUGAAAAAUAGGGUAAAUCCUUCUAAAAAUGACAGUGACUACCCUGCAAGAAGAAAAAUAAAAUUCAAUUAAUUAGGAUUACUGAAUUCUACUUAUUAAAUAUAUUUUUUCUUAUCAAAUGUGGUGUAAAAUAUCAAAUCUAAAUGAACUUAGUGGUUGUCCUGGUGUCAGAUGGGACAGAGUUAAUUUUCUUCCUAGUAGCUGGUAUGGUGCUGUGUUUUGGAUUUAAGGAUGAAAACAUUGUUGGUAGUACGGUGAUGUUUUAGUUGUUGCAGUGCAGCGCUUACACAGAGUCAAGGACUCUCAGCUUCUCAUGCUGCCCUGCCAGCGAGGGGGCUGAGUGUGUACCAGGAGCAGAGAGAGGACACGGCCAGGACAGGUGACCCAGAGAGGCCAAAGGGACAUCCCACGUGUGGUGUUGUGCUGAACAAUAAAACUGGGGGGAGCUGGCUGAGGUGUGCGUGGGGCUGUUACUCAGGAGCUGGUUGGACAUCAGUAGGCUGGUGAUUUUCUGCUUGAAUAUAGACCUUUUUGGAAGAGCAGAAAGACAGGUAGCUCCUAGAUAGGACUGGAAUGAAGACACAAGGGCUGAGCUGGCACAGCAAACCAUACCUUUUGCUGGCUUCAAGGACAAGGAAAUGCACAGCUCACAGGCAGGUAGGUACCAGAGAAGCCACUGAUUGAUUUAGGGCAAAGAAGCCUAACUCCCUUCUAGGUGGCUGGCCUCUAAAGCAAACUUUUCCUCACUGGCUGGUCAGCAUCCCAGAAGACACAUUUCUCGCUGUUAUAAAGGCUUUGCAUGCUACUUGAUCAAGCCAGGCAGCCAAUAAUCAUACAUAUGCUAAUGAAACAUUUAGGUACCUGCAACAUUUAGGUUGCUAUCUGAUCAAACAUCAAACAUUUUUUCUACACACAUAGCUGUCAGCCUAUGAACUGCACAAUGUUAUUUAACCUGGGAAGGCAGUCACCAAAGUGGGUGCAGGCAGCAGCCUGUAAGUGAGGAGGGAAUUAGGGAGACACAAGGGUGGCUAUAAGAAAGAUGAGGUGUGAGAUGCUCAAGAAUUGCUAACAGAAACAACGGAAAGGCUGCAAAUGCAGUAGGAAGAGGAGAAUACAGCCUUACAGAACCUUUCAUGGCCUAUCCACUUAUUUAGAAAUUAUUUAUAAAGAGGAAAAAUACGUAGGCAAAAUACUUCCCAAGGAUGUUGUAAAUAUGCUGAGAAAUGCAUUAUAUACUGGGGAAACUGGAGAUAUAUUUAUGAGCACAGUCAGAUUUCAAAUAGCAUACCUAAUGCGCACACACACACAAAAGCCUUUGUAACUUCACUGUAGCAAAGUCAGUAUCUAUAACAUCUUCAUGAAGUGAUGCACCUUAUUAUAAUAAGAUCCAAGUGGGUUUCAAGACUGGUUUUACAUUUUUUUUUCUCCUUAGUAUCUUCUCACUGUAUUACGUACUUAUUUCCAUAUGAAGAUAACCUGUAUGGUAAAUCAGAAUUGUCCAGAAACAAGCCAAACAGUGAGUCAAAUGCAGAGGGCUUGCCUUGCCUUUUCCAGGAACUCAGGCAGCAAGACUCGGUGGUCUCUCAGGAGUAACCACAGGAUAGAAUAAAACUCCUAGAGACAACCUGCCUGCUGCUACUUUGGGUGCAUCAUCAAUAGCAUCGUGAAUUUAUAACAUGGCAAAGAUGCCAGGCAGCAGUACCAGGUCCUGUGCUGCUGUGGCACCCAGCACUGCCUGCCCCUGGAUGCUCCUAGUGAAUACAUGCUCCAGCUCACCUGCAGAAGCGGGCAACACUGCAAAGGCACAGAGAUACACUGUGCCUCUCCAUGAGCACACUUCUCUCUAUGAUUGAGAGAUUUAAAACAAGAAUUUUCUGUCCAGAAGUUCAGGAUAACAUUGGAUAAUGGUUCUGCAAAAGCACCUUCUUGAAAAGACACUGCUCAGGCUAAACGAAAAAAUAAACUAGAUCUACAUGUCAGUAAUUCCAGCAACAGAAAAAUAACCCAAGAGGAUCAACUGCAAGCAUAGAUAAACAAGGGACUGAUGUUUUAAACGUCACAGAUAUGUCACAGAAGUGCACGCUCUCCAAGAAACUGACUAGAGCAGUUCUUGUUUUUACCUUAAUUAACUUACUGAACUCCAGGAAAGAAAAUUUCAUGGGAUGACUUUCACAAAAGUCCAUUUUUGACAGAACUCCUUAAGAAAUAACUAUAUUAAACUUUACCGCUCACAUAUGAGAAUACAUUUAAACUUCUGGGUUGUUUUUUUUUGUUUGUUUGUUUGUUUUUUUUUGGUUUUGUUUUGUUUUUCGAGAAUGCAACAUUUUUUUUUUUUUUUUUCCUAAACUUCUCCGUUGUUCUGAAUUUCUACAAUGGAUUUCUCACAAGAUUUUAAGAAAACUUUGUAUUGAACUUAUUACAUAGCAUGGCAAUAUACAACCUAUAGUUAGACAUGUGAGAAAGGGUUUAUCUCCUAUCUGGAAAUAAUCUACUUAAUGAUAACAAAAGCCUUAACAAGAGAAGUAAGAUAAUUAAUGGAAAUUCUCCCCUGGUAACAGAACAAUGUGCUUUGGACUUGUGUUUCAACCAGCACAACCACUCAACAUUGGGAACGACUCAACUCUCUCAGAGCAUGACAUCUGUGAUUAUUAUUGAUAAAUACAUUCUUGUCUUGGGCUGAGCGCACAAUGUAUUUCAAGAGAAGGGAAAAAUCUUCUUUAAAAUUAAAUUACACCAGUCUCCACUCUGCGGGUUGUGCACUGUAUGCACGUAUGCACUCCCAGAGGACACGCUGUACUAGGUACCCAACUUAAUGUCCCAAUAAAAAAUUAAAUGAGGACAUAUGUGCUUAAAGGAUUGGGCCCAGGGAUACAAUGUUUCCUUGCACUAGAAUAAGGUGGAAUGUCUUUUUCAUUCUAUCACUGCUUAUUAGUAGCAAGGAUGUAUUAAUAAUAAAUGCUUAUAUAAAGAAAAGCGAAGUAUUUAUCAUCUGUUCAACACUAUGUCAAAACUCCCUCUUUUCCUCAAACAAGAGAAAUGAAUUUUAAAAUAAAAUAUUGAAGGGGAAACUGUUCCUAUCAAUACUGUACUGCUGGUAAUAAAGUCUGAGAUUAACAAAAUCGA